UGCUCCAAGACCUGGCAAUGAGAAGUGACUCAGGCUCUGAGAUGUAAACAGAGACGUAUGUUCCCAACUCCAACUGAACUCCAAGCAGCAGAAGUGAUGUGCUGAACCCUGAUGCAGACUGACAAAAUGACACUGACUUCACUUCCACUUCUGGUUCUGCAAACUCACCAUUACCUGCUACUUGGUCAAGGGGAACUGUUUGCUGCGUUUGGAGACUGCAGGUCCCCAAAUGUCUUCCCCUUUUGGUGAGAGUGGAGGACUGCGGUUGUCAACCCGAGGUGAAAGAAUGUACAGUUAAAAGCUGAAGAUUUUUUUUUUUCAUUGCCCGUGAUCAAGAACAUUCUCUUGUCUUUCUUGGACUUCCAACUGAUGGCAGGUUAAUGACAUUCAUUCCACAGAGAAGCAUGUGCCCGCCGUUUUAACAGCUGAGAGAGUUAGCUUGACUUCCAAGGAUAACUGCCCUGAAGUAGCAAGCAAUACAGACUCUGCAAGCUGAGAGUGAGAAACAAUUAGAGAGCACUUCAUUAAUGCUUAAUGAUGCAGAGCAGGCAUAGAGCAGAGCUGAUUGUGUGCUCUGUCUUAGCUAGUGAUCCUCACACGAUGCCAGUGCAGUGUUGUGCAAGCCUUUGCAUGCUAGGUUGUGAAUCUGAGAUGGCAAAGGUGAGAUUAUCUGGGGAAAGCUAGUGUGACAGGUUGGACAGAAACCAGAAAAUGGCUGCAGUGAAUCUCAUUGCCAGCUUUAGCUCAAGUUGGGGAAAGUGCUAUAUUCUUUUCAUAUUUGGUUCCCUGAGCCUAAUUCCUAAUAGACAUGGUUAAAUCCCACUGACGAUUUCUGUUCCUAAUAAUGCAUUAAGCAUCUCUGUUGGAAGGUUCUAUUAAGCAUCUCCCCUUGUUUUUUACUCUACCAUACUGCAGUGAAAAAGGAUUAAAAAAUACUGCACAGGUGCACAUCGCAGCUGUUGAGGCUAAACUGUGUUCUACUAUAUUAAUUCAUGUCCCAUUAGGGGAGUUACAGAAUAGUUUAGUUCCCAUAAAAAGGGAAAAAAUUGUCUUCAUCAAAGAAGAAAGGAGUUUCCUAUUUACACUGCAACAUUAUUUUUGGCCAAAAGGGCUUUGCUAAACCCAGUUUCCCAGCCUAGUCAUGCAACCACGAAAACAGAAAGGGGAUUCUUUGGCUUAGUUUCAAAUUACACAUUUAAAAUUAAAUUUGUGUUUCUGUGUAUACAGAGAUAAUAUUCAUACAAAGUCUCUAUACACAAUCUAGUGUGCUGAUACAUACACACAAAGCUCCAAGAAGUCACAUUUUAAUUAAAGUCUAAGCAAUCAAGGCUACAUAAACCAGACCUAUGUCACCAGACUUUUUCAUUGUAUUUAGCUCCUGGGGCAUGAACAUAAAUCAGUGGUGACGUGUCUGUUUAUAGUACACAUUUAUUUCAGAGAGUCAGUCAUAUAUUGAGAUGGCUUUGUUAUAAAAACAGCUUCUAUGUUUUUUUGCUUCCUAUGACUUCAUCUACAGCUGUGAAUGUUAAAUAUUAAUGUUGAAAACAUGACACUAAAUGCAAGACUAAUAAAUGAGGGUUCAUGCAUCUAUCGUGUGAUAAAAUAGAAAUAGCAUUACACAAACAGGAAUGAACAGAGGGAGGAGUGAGGGAAAAGAGAAGAGGUUAGGGAAAGGUGGAGGUAGGGAUGGAAGAAGGGACUGAAGAGGAGACCAAUGACAUAAACACACACGCACUCC